rnacentral:misc_RNA from 1 species
UCCGAGUUGACCCCGGCAGUCUCCUAUGAGUCCCCACCAUCACGUGCUGGCAACAUAGAACGAGGGUUGCGCUCGUUGCGGGACUUAACCCAACAUCUCACGACACGAGCUGACGACAGCCAUGCACCACCUGUAUACCGACCACAAGGGGGGCCGUAUCUCUACGGCUUUCCGGUAUAUGUCAAACCCAGGUAAGGUUCUUCGCGUUGCAUCGAAUUAAGCCACAUGCUCCGCCGCUCGUGCGGGUCCCCGUCAAUUCCUUUGAGUUUUAGCCUUGCGGCCGUACUCCCCAGGCGGGGUGCUUAAUGCGUUAGCUUCGGCACGGAGGACGUUGAUAAUCCCCCACACCUAGUGCCCAACGUUUACGGCGUGGACUAC